UGGGGGAUAUUGCACAAUGGGCGAAAGCCUGAUGCAGCGACGCCACGUGGGGGAUGAAGGCUUUCGGGUUGUAAACCUCUUUCGCUAUCGAACAAGGCCCGCUUAGGGUGGGUUGAGGGUAGGUGGAGAAGAAGCGCCGGCUAACUACGUGCCAGCAGCCGCGGUAAUACGUAGGGCGCGAGCGUUGUCCGGAAUUAUUGGGCGUAAAGGGCUUGUAGGCGGCUUGUUGCGCCUGCUGUGAAAACGCGGGGCUUAACUUCGCGCGUGCAGUGGGUACGGGCAGGCUUGAGUGUGGUAGGGGUGACUGGAAUUCCAGGUGUAGCGGUGGAAUGCGCAGAUAUCUGGAGGAACACCGAUGGCGAAGGCAGGUCACUGGGCCAUUACUGACGCUGAGGAGCGAAAGCAUGGGUAGCGAACAGG
rnacentral:rRNA from 2 species